ACGCUCUCCUGUAACGAUGCUCCUCUCCGCCAGAGCUCUGGCAGGCCGGAGGAGAGAUGAGCUCCUUGACUGAGGCCCCUACAUUGUCUGGCUGUGGGUCUGUCACACUGACCUCAUUCUGAUUACCUGAGGCUGCAGGGAGAAACGCGACUGUCCAUCGUGUUUCUCCAGCACGGUGCCUUGGUCAUACAACCCCGACCAGGUUUCUCCAAGGCCACUCAAGUCCUGAGGACCGUCAGACCGAACUGCACCUCAAAACUCUCCUUUACACCUUCCUCUCCCUCAGCUUCUGAGGCAGUCAUCCAGGUCUGUAAGGGUUUUGUUUAUUGUUCAUUCAUGCGUUGUUUCCCUUCACAUUCUUUUCUUCUUGGACCUUUCCACAGCGACCCCUCCCUUGAAACAGCCUCCUAAUUGUAUUCCCCACUUUCAAUGCCUCCUCCAGUUUAUCCACCCACAGGUUCAUUUUCCUGUGACAACACUUUGAUCAUAUCGCUGCUGCUAAAACUACAUUGUUGAUAGAUGUCUCAGCUUGGCAUUCAGGGAUCUCCACAAUGAGAAUCUCAAUGAGACUAAGAGGCAAACUGGUGCAGUAAAAAGAACUUGACCCUCAGAUGCAAACUGACAUGAGUUCAAACCCUGAUUUUCCCACAUUCUAAUUGUAUACUUCUGAGGCUCAUUUUUUUGGUCUGAAAAAUGGGGGUAAUAAAAUAUAUCUCCGAGGGCA
rnacentral:lncRNA from 1 species